UACAGAGGUCCCAAGCGUUGUUCGGAUUCAUUGGGCGUAAAGGGUGCGUAGGCGGCGCGGUAAGUCGGGUGUGAAAUCUCGGAGCUUAACUCCGAAACUGCAUUCGAUACUGCCGUGCUUGAGGACUGGAGAGGAGACUGGAAUUUACGGUGUAGCGGUGAAAUGCGUAGAUAUCGUAAGGAAGACCAGUGGCGAAGGCGGGUCUCUGGACAGUUCCUGACGCUGAGGCACGAAGGCCAGGGGGGCAAACGGG
rnacentral:rRNA from 1 species